rnacentral:rRNA from 1 species
UACAGAGACUGGCAAGCGUUAUUCGGAUUCACUGGGCGUAAAGGGCGCGUAGGCGGCCUUCUAAGUCGAACGUGAAAUCCCCGGGCUCCAACCCGGGAACUGCGUCCGAGACUGAAAGGCUUGAAUCCGGGAGAGGGAGUGUGGAAUUCCAGGUGUAGCGGUGAAAUGCGUAGGAUAAUCUGGAGGAACAUCGGUGGCGAAGGCGGCAUCCUGGACCGGUAUUGGACGCUGAGGCGCGAAA